rnacentral:rRNA from 1 species
GAUGAACGCUGGCGGCGUGCCUAAUACAUGCAAGUCGAGCGAACAGACGAGGAGCUUGCUCCUCUGACGUUAGCGGCGGACGGGUGAGUCACACGUGGAUAACCUACCUAUAAGACUGGGAUAACUUCGGGAAACCGGCGCUAAUACCGGAUAACCUGUUGAACCGCAUGGUUCAACAGUGAAAGACGGUCUUGCUGUCACUAAUCGAUGGAUCCCCGCCGCAUUAGCUAGUUGGUACGGUAACGGCUUACUAAGGCAACGAUGCGUAGCCGACCUGAGAGGGUGGUAGGCCGCACUGGAACGGGGACACGGUCCAUACGCCUACGGGAGGCAGCAGUAUGGAAUCUGCGGCAAUGGGCGAAAGCCUGACGCAGCAACGCCGCGUGAGUGAUGAAGGUCUUCGGAUCGUAAAACUCGGUUAUUAGGGAAGAACAAAUGUCUAAGUAACUAUGCACGUCUUGACGGUACCUAAUCAGAAAGCAACGGCUAACUACGUG